GAGGGCAGGGCCGUGCCCGGACAGGGAAGCAGGGGCCGGGCCGCGGGCCUGAGAGUGCAGGGCUGGCGAUGGAGGCGUCGGCGGACGUCUACACGGACAGCUCCAGAGACUUGGCAUCUCUUCGGCCCGGGCUUCUGCCGUAUGCGCGGCCGUCACCUGCACUGCCAUCGCGCCCUCCAUGUCGCAACGCGCCGCAGGAAGAUGGCGGAUUUACGACCGUGUCGUCAUAACAACGGGCCGCGCCGAGGAGAGCGAGAGAGAACGAUAGGAGGAAGACGACGGGGCGGGGCCAGGAAUCGGAGCUCAGGAGAGCCGCUACCAGGACAUCGCCCCAGCUGGGACCAGUAGUGUGGUGCUCGGUGCCCUCCGACCCCCUCGGGUGUCAGAAUCUCCUUUGAUGGUUGCCCGGAUCCCGGGAGAAGAACUCAAGCUGGGGAUGGCUCACGAGUAGCUUCACUAAGCCUUUUAUUCUUUUGUGUAUUUUUUAAGUUGUGAUAAAUACACAUAAAAAUUUACCUUAGUGACAUUUAGUACAUCCACAAUGUGUAACCAUCACCAUCAUCUAGUUCCAGAACAUUGUCGUCAUUCCUAAAGGAAUGUACCUUUAUGUACCCAUUAGCAGUCACUCCCCAUUCUCCCCUGCCCCAACCCCUGGCAACCACUUUCUGUCUCAAGGGAUUGCUUUUUCUGGACAUUUCGUAUAAGUGGAAUUACACAUGUGGUCUUUUUCAUCUGGC